rnacentral:rRNA from 1 species
UACGGAGGGUGCGAGCGUUGUCCGGAAUCACUGGGCGUAAAGGGCGCGUAGGCGGCCCGGCAAGUCAACGGUGAAAGCUUGGGGCUCAACUCCGGAUCUGCGGUGGGUACGGGCAGACUAGAGUGAUGUAGGGGAGACUGGAAUUCCUGGUGUAGCGGUGAAAUGCGCAGAUAUCAGGAGGAACACCGAUGGCGAAGGCAGGUCUCUGGGCAUUAACUGACGCUGAGGAGCGAAAGCAUGGGGAGCGAACAGG